CCCUUAGAUGUUCUGGGCAGCACGCGCGCUACAAUGGUCUUCGCAAACGGAUGCAUUCUCGAAGGAGAAUGCCAAUCUUGGAAUCUAUGCCUUGGUCGGGACAGUUGCUUGCAAUUUUUCGACUCGAACCAGGAAUUCCUUGUAAUCGUGAUUCAUCACAUCACGAUGAAUACGUCCCUGCCCUUUGUACACACCGCCCGUCGCUCCUACCGAUCGAAGAGUUAGGUGAAUUGUUUUGAUCGAUAAGAUUUGACUAUGGUCAACUCUCGUUGGGAAAUUCUGUGAAUCUGACUGUUUAGAGGAAGGAAAAGUCGUAACA
rnacentral:rRNA from 1 species